GAUGAACGCUGGCGGCGUGCCUAACACAUGCAAGUCGAACGUGAGAGAGUAGCAAUAUUCUUGAAAGUGGCGAACGGGUGAGUAACACGUGGGUAACCUGCCCUGAAGUGGGGGAUAACGACUGGAAACGGUUGCUAAUACCGCAUGAGGCUGAGGUGACGGGAGUCACAGCAGCGAAAACUCUGGUGCUUCAGGAGGGGCCUGCGGCCGAUUAGCUAGUUGGCGGGGUAAGAGCCCACCAAGGCGACGAUCGGUAGCUGGUCUGAGAGGACGAUCAGCCACACGGGAACUGAGAAACGGUCCCGACACCUACGGGAGGCUG
rnacentral:rRNA from 1 species